rnacentral:rRNA from 1 species
UACAGAGGUCUCAAGCGUUGUUCGGAUUCAUUGGGCGUAAAGGGUGCGUAGGCGGCGCGGUAAGUCGGGUGUGAAAUCUCGGAGCUUAACUCCGAAACUGCAUUUGAUACUGCCGUGCUUGAGGACUGGAGAGGAGACUGGAAUUCUCGGUGUAGCGGUGAAAUGCGUAGAUAUCGAGAGGAACACCAGUGGCGAAGGCGAGUCUCUGGACAUUUCCUGACGCUGAGGCACGAAGGUCAGGGGAGCAAACGGG